CUGGUGCCAGCAGCCGCGGUAAUUCCAGCUCCAAUAGCGUAUAUUAAAGUUGUUGCGGUUAAAAAGCUCGUAGUUGGAUUUGUGUCCCACGCCGUCGGUUCGUCGCCCGUCGACGUAACCGCACGGUUAUGUGAGUGGGACGUCCAGCCGGUGAGGCGCAGGUCUCGGCGCGGGUGCGCCCGCGCACUUGCCGGCCGACCCCUUAACCGGUGUGUCAGUCGCGCUCGUGGUCUGCGUGGCGUUGCCUCGCGUCGGGGUGCCGGCCUCAUAUUACUCGUCUCGGUGCUCUUAAACGAGUGUCUUGACGGGCCGGCUCGUUUACUUUGAACAAAUUAGAGUGCUCAAAGCAGGCUAAAACGCCUGAAUAUUGUGUGCAUGGAAUAAUGGAAUAGGAUCUCGGUUCUAUUUUGUUGGUUUUCUGAACCAGAGAUAAUGAUUAAUAGAGACUGACGGGGGCAUUCGUAUUGCGACGUUAGAGGUGAAAUUGGUUGCGAUCGUCGCAAGACGAACCGAAGCGAAAGCAUUUGCCAAGAAUGUUUUCUUUAAUCAAGAACGAAAGUUAGAGGUUCGAAGGCGAUCAGAUACCGCCCUAGUUCUAACCAUAAACGAUGCCAACUAGCGAUCCGCCGGUGUUCCUCCGAUGACCCGGCGGGCAGCUUCCGGGAAACCAAAGUGUUUGGGUUCCGGGGGAAGUAUCUGAAAACUUAAAGGAAUUGACGGAAGGGCACCACCAGGAGUGGAGCCUGCGGCUUAAUUUGACUCAACACGGGAAACCUCACCAGGCCCGGACACUGGAAGGAUUGACAGAUUGAUAGCUCUUUCUUGAUUCAGUGGGUGGUGGUGCAUGGCCGUUCUUAGUUGGUGGAGCGAUUUGUCUGGUUAAUUCCGAUAACGAACGAGACUCUGGCCUGCUAACUAGUCGCAAUAACGACAUCCGCAUUCGUGCUGUCGGCGACAAAUAUAAACUCUUCUUAGAGGGACAGGCGGCUUCUAGCCGCACGAGAUUGAGCAAUAACAGGUCUGUGAUGCCCUUAGAUGUUCUGGGCCGCACGCGCGCUACACUGAAGGAAUCAACGUGUGUUUUCCCUUGGCCGAGAGGUCCGGGUAACCCGCUGAACCUCCUUCGUGCUAGGGAUUGGGGCUUGCAAUUGUUCCCCAUGAACGAGGAAUUCCCAGUAAGCGCGAGUCAUAAGCUCGCGUUGAUUACGUCCCUGCCCUUUGUACACACCGCCCGUCGCUACUACCGAUUGAAUGAUUUAGUGAGGUCUUCGGACCGUCGCGCGGCAAGUCGCGCAAGCGCCUGUCGAUGUUCGACGGAAAGAUGAUCAAACUUGAUUAUUUAGAGGAAGUAAAAGUCGUAACAAGGUUUCCGUAGG
rnacentral:rRNA from 1 species